rnacentral:lncRNA from 1 species
UUAUAUAGUUUUAGCCAUUGGAUUUCAUUCAAAGCCCACCAAAUGACUCCUCCCACAAUAUUAUGAUGUUCCCCAAGUGUUGGACUCAAUCCUAUAUCGAUUGGUCCAUGAAAUCAGACAAUUUAGGUUCAAACGAAUAUCGUUCUGAAAUGGAGUGGUUAGUGUAUUGUAUAGUUCUAGAGAUUAGAUUUCACUCCAAACCCACCAAAUGACUCCUCCCACAACAUUAUGAUGUUCCCCAACUUUUGGACUCAAUCCGAUAUUGAUUGGUCCAUGAAAUCGGACAAUUCAGGUUCUUUCGAGGUUCGUUCUGAAAUCGAGUGGUUGGUGUAUUGUAUAGUUCUAAAGAUUGGAUUUCACCCAAAACCCACAAAAUG